GGAGCAGUCGUGACCUGGAAAAAGAGAGCGUCAAGAGAAGACAUUGUCACAAUCAACAGAACAUCAAUUGGAACAUGAAAACGGCACGCCACAAUGACGCUAUACAGGCACUGUCCACUUAGGAGGAAUAAGAGCCAUUUUGCAAGUAGACAACUCCUUUUUUCGCCUAAGGGGAAAACAACAACACUGCUCAGCUGGACCAAGAGAAGUAAACUGUCUCUUAGAUUCAUUCAAAAGUGGAGUCUGCUUACUGGAACUACUUGUACAUGGUUGCAGAUAAUUACAUCCAGGCUGCCUCUGUCCAGUCUACUUACAAUCCAUCCAUAGAUGUUCCAUCGCCUAUCCUGUUCAGGGUCACAGGUGAGCUGGAGACUAUCCUGGCUGACUGGGUUGGAUUCACACUCACUGAGCAAUUUGUAAGAUUCAAUUACCUAAAAUGUGUGGUU